AAACCCAUCUGUAACUGAACGCUCAGCUCUUCUUAAUUUGCACACACUGCGAGGUUUGGUGUCUUGCUGUUUAACAAGAAAAUCACUGCUCUCACACCACCCUUGGAGAACGACUGACUAGGCAAUCACCUUGAAGGAUAGCUAUUUGCAUACAGUGUUGCGAAUACUGGAUUUCUGAACACAGGCUUCUGUUAACUUGUUCCUUCUAUUUCAAUAAAAG
rnacentral:lncRNA from 1 species